rnacentral:tRNA from 1 species
UACAAGAUAUUUUAUAUAAAAUACAGUUCUGAAAAGACUGAGAAAAAGGAUGCUUUUCUUGUAG